UGCCAGCAGCCGCGGUAAUACGGAGGGGGCUAGCGUUGUUCGGAAUUACUGGGCGUAAAGCGUGCGUAGGCGGAUCAAUAAGUAAGGGGUGAAAUCCCGAGGCUCAACCUCGGAACUGCCCUUUAAACUGUUGGUCUUGAGUUCUGGAGAGGUGAGUGGAAUUGCUAGUGUAGAGGUGAAAUUCGUAGAUAUUAGCAGGAACACCAGAGGCGAAGGCGGCUCACUGGACAGAUACUGACGCUGAGGCACGAAAGUGUGGGGAGCAAACAGGAUUAGAUA
rnacentral:rRNA from 1 species